rnacentral:rRNA from 1 species
CCUACGGGAGGCAGCAGUGAGGAAUAUUGGUCAAUGGACGAGAGUCUGAACCAGCCAAGUAGCGUGAAGGAUGACUGCCCUAUGGGUUGUAAACUUCUUUUAUGUGGGAAUAAAAUGUUCCACGUGUGGGAUUUUGUAUGUACCAUAUGAAUAAGGAUCGGCUAACUCCGUGCCAGCAGCCGCGGUAAUACGGAGGAUCCGAGCGUUAUCCGGAUUUAUUGGGUUUAAAGGGAGCGUAGGUGGAUUGUUAAGUCAGUUGUGAAAGUUUGCGGCUCAACCGUAAAAUUGCAGUUGAAACUGGCAGUCUUGAGUACAGUAGAGGUGGGCGGAAUUCGAGGUGUAGCGGUGAAAUGCUUAGAGAUCACGAAGAACUCCGAUUGCGAAGGCAGUUCACUGGACUGCAACUGACACUGAGGCUCGAAAGUGUGGGUAUCAAACAGGAUUAGAUACCCGGGUAGUC